ensembl:miRNA oni-mir-10900a oni-mir-10900a
UCCGGAAGUCUACCACCAGCUCCUUGGUUUUACUAGUGGUGAUCUGGAGGUAGUUCUGCUGGC